GAGUCGUUAGUCUGGGGUCGGUUUGACUCUUCUGAAAUUACAGCGCGGUCAGCGGUUGUUAUUGUACAGGGUGUAUUUUACUCACGUUCAAAAGUUGGGCCAACUCCAAAUGUCAACUUUGCGCCCAAAUAACCCGCUUUGCUAACAUUAGAUAUGCGUCAAAACUUCCUUCACAAACAGGACGUUAUGAACACACGUCUCAAAAUUAACCAGGGAUUACAAAGAUUUCUCAGUGACGCGGAAAGAACAGUUUCUACGAAUGUUCGGGACGGAUCAGCCUAUAUAGCUUCCUUGUUCCGCAUUUUUUGUCCUCUUUCGACUUCCUUAACUUUAAGCAUGCAGCCUGAACAUUGGACAAAUAUGAGGAAUAUAUACGAAUAAGGAAAUACAAGCAUAACAUGCAUCAGACCCAAAUUUACAUAAACUUAAUAAGCCCAGCUUUGUCUUUAAUUUAGUUUAUGAGAAAAUAUAAAACACACUAUAGAACUGGUCACGAUAAUAUGGUCUCUACCUGUCGUAAUUUUGUAAUAGCAUGGAAAUACAACCAUUUGAUAAAUUUGGACUUCUUGUAUAUAUGAAAUUAAAGUUGAUGUUUUUAGUUUUAAUUUUAAGAUGUCUUCAUGUUUUGUCAGUCUUGCGCCAAAUUUACAUAGAGGCAUAAAAGGUCAUAUUAUAAAUUUAACUCUUGAUGCACUUAAGUUAAGACGCGCAUUAUGCUGUCGUUUUCUCUGAC